rnacentral:rRNA from 1 species
GUACACUCCUGCGGGAGGCAGCAGUGGGGAAUAUUGCACAAUGGGCGCAAGCCUGAUGCAGCCAUGCCGCGUGUAUGAAGAAGGCCUUCGGGUUGUAAAGUACUUUCAGCGGGGAGGAAGGCGAUAAGGUUAAUAACCUUGUCGAUUGACGUUACCCGCAGAAGAAGCACCGGCUAACUCCGUGCCAGCAGCCGCGGUAAUACGGAGGGUGCAAGCGUUAAUCGGAAUUACUGGGCGUAAAGCGCACGCAGGCGGUCUGUCAAGUCGGAUGUGAAAUCCCCGGGCUCAACCUGGGAACUGCAUUCGAAACUGGCAGGCUAGAGUCUUGUAGAGGGGGGUAGAAUUCCAGGUGUAGCGGUGAAAUGCGUAGAGAUCUGGAGGAAUACCGGUGGCGAAGGCGGCCCCCUGGACAAAGACUGACGCUCAGGUGCGAAAGCGUGGGGAGCAAACAGGAUUAGAUACCCCAGUAGUCCCAUG